GUCAUGUCUGACUCGUUCCCUGUUGACUUAUCCGAUGUAUAUAUAGUAGUCCGUCGACAAAAAACCUCAAUAUACAUUGAUGUCCCUGAAUAUGCAAUAGUAAAGCAUCUAAAGACCAUAUUGGAACAAAUAUGUCAGAGAUCUGUGACUGACAUUCGUCUACUCCACGACUGUGUGAUUAUGGAGGAUAGAUUUAAGCUAUCUGAUUAUGGACUGUCAUCGAAGACUGCCCAAGCUCACAAACCAAUCACUCUGACUAUGUGUUUUAAACAGGAAGGUUGAUUAGUCGGGUUAUUGUAAGGUGGAAUGUUCGAAGACGCCGUGAUUGAGGAAUAUUCUAA